AUUGCAGAAGAGGUUACGAGUGUUGGGGGAAGAUGAUAAUUGGAAACUGUGUAGUUUUCGUUCAGUUUUACUGUGAACCUAAAACUGAUCUGAAAACAGAGGCUAUUAAAUAAACAAAUAAUAGAACACAUUGGGGUAACAAAGGGAUGCAGUAAAUUGUCAAUGGAAAUAAAAUAAAAUCUACAUAAACUGGGCAUAAUGUUCAAAAAAGAUUAGAUGCAUGAUUUUGAGGAGUAGAAAUAGAGAAUGCAUGGUAAAUGAAAAAAAAUUAGAAAGAGGAGGAUGGUGUUUAGUUUAAAUAAAGAGAGUUUAAAACUUUGGGAUGCCUGGAUAGAAUAUAGUACGGAUGGCCUAUAAAAACCAAAAACUUGGGCCGGGCGCGGUGGCUCAAGCCUGUAAUCCCAGCACUUUGGGAGGCCGAGGCGGGUGGAUCAUGAGGUCAAGAGAUCGAGACCAUCCUGGUCAAUAAGGUGAAACCCCGUCUCUACUGAAAAUACAAAAAAUUAGCUGGGCAUGGUGGUGCAUGCCUGUAAUCCCAGCUACUCAGGAGGCUGAGGCGGGAGAAUUGCCUGAACCCAGGAGGCGGAGGUUGCGGUGAGCCGAGAUGGCGCCAUUGCACUCCAGCCUGAGUAACAAGAGCGAGACUCCAUCUCAAAAAACAAAACAAAACAAAAUCUGAUAAAUUAUUUGGCUCUUCCUAUAGGAAAAGAAAAAAUAUACAUGUGAAAUUUUAUGAACAAAUGUGUCAGCUGGGAUUAAAAGAUUUCAUUAACUCCAGAUAAAGAACUAUUGUUUAUGAGAAUAUUGUAGAGGUCAGCUAGAAAAAUUACUUAUUCGUGCCUAAGAGAUAAGAUGUAUUCAGUAAAUAUGUGUUGAAUGAAUAGGCCAAUGAAUAGAUAAGCUAUAAGAUUUAUGUAGAAGCUUUUUGAUUUUAUGUAAAACUCUAAACAGUCUGGAAGUUUUAAUCUGUAAAACAUGUCAAUUGAACAAUGCUAUAUUAAAAUCCUUUGUAUUUCUGAGUAUUUCUUAUUAUUUAUAAAACUAAUAAGAUUUGUAAAGAAAUAUUUAUGUCUGCUUAAAACUGUGUUUUAAAUGCAUUUUGAUAAUUCCUUGUUCAUCUAUUCUUUCAUCUGGUUAGUGAUGAAAAGUAGCAAUUGGCUUUGAGUUUUGAACAUGGCACCAAGAUAGUAAGGGAGGUGUUUUGCCACGUCCAAACAAAUGGCUUUUAUAAGGCUGUUUUAUAGCCAGUAAAAUAUAAAAAUAUACACAAAAUCCUUACAAUAGGGUUUUAAAAGAGAUAAUAUUAACCACACGUGUGUGUGUGUGUGUGUGUGUGUGUGAGAGAGAGAGAGAGGAGGGGAGAGAGAGAGAGAGAGAGAGAGAGAGAUGGAGAGAGAGAGAGACAAAGAGAAAGGCAGAGAGGUAGGGAUCUAGGUAAAUGACAUAACUUUUCAAUUCCAUUUAGACUGCUUUACAUUACAUAAGGAUCAUAUUUUGACAUG
rnacentral:lncRNA from 1 species